rnacentral:rRNA from 1 species
UGCAUAGGUAACGUGCCCCUUAGUCUGGGAUAGCCACUGGAAACGGUGAUUAAUACCGGAUACUCCUUCUACCUUGAUGGUAGUCGGGAAAGUUUUUCGCUAAGGGAUCGGCCUAUGUUGUAUCAGGUAGUUGGUAGGGUAAUGGCCUACCAAGCCUAUGACACAUAGCGGGUCUGAGAGGAUGAUCCGCCACACUGGUACUGAGACACGGACCAGACUCCUACGGGAGGCAGCAGUGGGGAAUAUUGCACAAUGGACGAAAGUCUGAUGCAGCAACGCCGCGUGGAGGAUGACACAUUU